rnacentral:rRNA from 1 species
CCCUUAGAUGUUCUGGGCCGCACGCGCGCUACACUGAUGCAUCCAACAAGCCUAGCCUUGACCGAGAGGUCCGGGUAAUCUUUGAAACUGCAUCGUGAUGGGGCUAGAUUAUUGCAAUUAUUAAUCUUCAACGAGGAAUGCCUAGUAAGCGUGAUUCAUCAAAUCGCGUUGAUUACGUCCCUGCCCUUUGUACACACCGCCCGUCGCUCCUACCGAUUGAAUGUGUUGGUGAGGAGCUCGGAUUGGCAGCAGUUGGUGGUUCGCCACCGGCUAUUGCUGAGAAGUCCUCCAAACCGCCCCAUUUAGAGGAAGGAGAAGUCGUAACA